GGACACCGCCCUUUCACGGCGGUAACAGGGGUUCGAAUCCCCUAGGGGACGCCAAUAUGACUGACGGUGGGUGAAAA
rnacentral:rRNA from 1 species